GAUGAACGCUGGCGGCGUGCCUAAUACAUGCAAGUCGAGCGAACGGACGAGAAGCUUGCUUCUCUGAUGUUAGCGGCGGACGGGUGAGUAACACGUGGAUAACCUACCUAUAAGACUGGGAUAACUUCGGGAAACCGGAGCUAAUACCGGAUAAUAUUUUGAACCGCAUGGUUCAAAAGUGAAAGACGGUCUUGCUGUCACUUAUAGAUGGAUCCUCGCUGCAUUAGCUAGUUGGUAAGGUAACGGCUUACCAAGGCAACGAUGCAUAGCCGACCUGAGAGGGUGAUCGGCCACACUGGAACUGAGACACGGUCCAGACUCCUACGGGAGGCAGCAGUAGGGAAUCUUCCGCAAUGGGCGAAAGCCUGACGGAGCAACGCCGCGUGAGUGAUGAAGGUCUUCGGAUCGUAAAACUCUGUUAUUAGGGAAGAACAUAUGUGUAAGUAACUGUGCACAUCUUGACGGUACCUAAUCAGAAAGCCACGGCUAACUACGUG
rnacentral:rRNA from 1 species